GACGAAGGUGGCGAGCGUUGUUCGGAAUCACUGGGCAUAAAGCGCACGUAGGCGGUGACGUAAGUCGGGUGUGAAAUCCCUCGGCCUAACCGAGGAACUGCGCCCGAUACUGCGUUGCUUGAGGACCAGAGGGGUGCAUGGAAUUUCCGGUGGGGCGGUGAAAUGCGUUGAUAUCGGAAGGAACUCCGGCGGCGAAAGCGAUGCACUGGCUGGUUUCUGACGCUGAGGUGCGAAAGCCAGGGGAGCAAACGGG
rnacentral:rRNA from 1 species